GAUUAACGCUGGCGGCGUGCAUAACACAUGCAAGUCGAACGAUGAAGAUUAUUAGACUUCUUCGGAAUGAAAAUAAUUGGAUUAGUGGCGGACGGGUGAGUAACGCGUGAGUAAUCUGCCUUACACAAGGGGAUAGCCGUUGGAAACGACGAAUAAUACCCUAUGAAACUAUCACUUCGCAUGAAGCGAUAGUCAAAGUGUUAGCGGUGUAAGAUGGACUUGCGUCUGAUUAGCUAGUUGGUGAGAAAAAAGCCCACCAAGGCAACGAUCAGUAGCCGGCUUGAGAGAGUGUACGGCCACAUUGAGACUGAGACACGGCCCAGACUCCUACGGGAGGCAGCAGUGGGGAAUUAUGCACAAUGGGGGAAACCCUGAUGCAGCGACGCCGCGUGAUUUAGAAGGCCUUCGGGUUGUAAAAAUCUUUUGUAUAGGAAGAAAAUGACAGUACUAUACGAAUAAGGUCCGGCUAAUUACGUG
rnacentral:rRNA from 1 species